GUAGAGAGAGAGAGACACAGUAGAGAGAGAGAGACAGUAGAGAGAAGAGAGAGAGAGAGAGAGAGACAGUAGAGAGAGACAGUAGAGAGAGAGAGACAAGAGAGAGACAGUAGAGAGAGAGAGACAGUAGAGAGAGAGAGACAGUAGAGAGAGAGAGAGACAGUAGAGAGAGAGAGAGAGAGAGAGAGACAGUAGAGAGAGAGAGACAAGAGAGAGAGAGAGACAGUAGAGAGAGAGACAGUAGAGAGAGAGAGAGAGACAGUAGAGAGAGAGAGAGAGAGAGAGAGAGACAGUAGAGAGAGAGAGACAGUAGAGAGAGAGAGAGAGACAGUAGAGAGAGAGAGAGAGAGAGAGAGAGAGAGAGAGAGAGAAGAGAGAGAGAGAGAGACAGUAGAGUGAGAGAGACAGUAGAGAGAGACAGUAGAGAGAGAGAGAGACAGUAGAGAGAGAGACAGUAGAGACAGUAGAGAGAGA
rnacentral:lncRNA from 1 species